rnacentral:rRNA from 1 species
GACGAACCGUGCGAACGUUGUUCGGAAUCACUGGGCUUAAAGGGCGCGUAGGCGGACCACCAAGUCCGGGGUGAAAUCCUCCGGCUUAACCGGAGAAUUGCCUGGGAUACUGGUGGUCUUGAGGGAGGUAGGGGCACGCGGAACUUCCGGUGGAGCGGUGAAAUGCGUUGAUAUCGGAAGGAACGCCGGUGGCGAAAGCGGCGUGCUGGCCCUCUUCUGACGCUGAGGCGCGAAAGCCAGGGGAGCGAACAGG